GCGAACGCUGGCGGCAGGCCUAACACAUGCAAGUCGAACGAACCUUCGGGUUAGUGGCGGACGGGUGAGUAACACGUGGGAACGUGCCUUUUGGUUCGGAACAACUCAGGGAAACUUGAGCUAAUACCGAAUGUGCCCUUCGGGGGAAAGAUUUAUCGCCAUUAGAGCGGCCCGCGUCUGAUUAGCUUGUUGGUGAGGUAAAGGCUCACCAAGGCUACGAUCAGUAGCUGGUCUGAGAGGAUGAUCAGCCACAUUGGGACUGAGACACGGCCCAAACUCCUACGGGAGGCAGCAGUGGGGAAUCUUGCGCAAUGGGCGAAAGCCUGACGCAGCCAUGCCGCGUGAAUGAUGAAGGUCUUAGGAUUGUAAAGUUCUGUUAUCGGGAAAGAACACCAUCAUCAGGAAAUGGGUGAUGGCUGACGGUACCCGAUUAGAAAGCCCCGGCUAACUACGU
rnacentral:rRNA from 1 species